rnacentral:rRNA from 1 species
ACCUUUACUAUAACCUAUUAUUGGGUUCGGUUAUAACAUGCGUAGGAUAGGUGGGAGACUACGAAGUGAUCCUUGAGGGGGUCGCAGAGUCUAUGGUGAAAUACCACCCUUGUUAUGGCUGGAUUCUAACCGGAGGAGUGGAUCCUCGGGAACAGUGAUAGGCGGGUAGUUUGACUGGGGCGGUCGCCUCCUAAAUUGUAACGGAGGCUCACAAAGGUCACCUCAGCACGGUCGGUAAUCGUGCGGAGAGUGUAAAGGCAUAAGGUGGCUUAACUGUGAGACUAACAAGUCGAGCAGAUGCGAAAGCAGGUCUUAGUGAUCCGGCGGCUCCGAGUGGAAGGGCCGUCGCUCAAAGGAUAAAAGGUACGCUGGGGAUAACAGGCUGAUCUUGCCCAAGAGUUCACAUCGACGGCAAGGUUUGGCACCUCGAUGUCGGCUCAUCGCAUCCUGGGGCUGGAGAAGGUCCC